UUCUAUUCUCUUAUUUCCAGCUAAACGAACUUUUCAUACUAAAGACAUAUAUUUACAAAUAAAUUAGUAAAUUUUAGUUCUAUUUUUCAAUUUUCAACAUAAGCAUUAUCCAUUUGUUUGAUUUUUAACUCACUGUAUAAUUUAUAUUUCUACAACCAUAUGCAUAGAAAAUCACGGUUCUAUUAAUGUGAACGAAUCGAUGUAUUCAUAUGGAGAUACCAUUUUAAUGUAUUGAUCGUGAAGAGUAGGGGGGUCAUCUAAGUGCAUUAUAUUUGUGUAAGGGUCGCUAAUUGAAAUUAAUGGCUCGGAGAUUUUGUAAUCUUCAAAAGAAUUCAUAUAGUCUGCAACGCUUGAAUUGCAAAGGCUUUCUUGGCCAAUUAGAUUCUCUGUACCACAUAUUUCCUCGUCAAGAAUGACAGUUUGCCCAUCUGUUGAAUCAUUUUGUACAUUACUACCAUUGGAACUGUAAAGAUUGAGCACUUCAUCUAUAUUCAUCAUAUUUAACGCGGAGUCUUUAUUUAUAAACACUUGGUCAUAGUACAUCUUAAAGGGCUUGAACUCAAUAUUCUGAGAAUACUCAGCCUCGUUAGCUUCAAAAUCUUUAUUUAGAGACAAAUUCUCAUUCAUUGUUUGUAAUGCAUUUGGCUCUCCAGAGAAAGCAUAGUCAGUAUUAAAGUUAUUGAUAUAGCUUUCAUCCAUUUUCAUUCGAACUUGACUUUCAAGAAAAUCCACAUUUUCAUUAGUAUUUUGGGCAUUUUCAGCAGUAUAUGAGCCGUCAAUACAUUCUUUUUGCGAGCUUUCCAAAUUUGGGGUUAAAGAUAAAAAGUUAGCAUUCUGUUCUAGGUCAAUUUCACAAUAGUUCUCCGGCCCUCCUAAAGUUGUAUUAUUUUGAGAAAAAGUAGUAGAUUGUGUAAGAUAUGUUGACACUGCUUCUCUAUAAGCGCUUGUAACUUUUUCAGGAGAAACUUUAGAGUCUAUACUUUUUACCCAAUAAUUGAGAGGCUUCAGCGAUGAUUCCAUUCUACUUUUCUCAUCAAUACUAUCUAUUUUGUUUUUCACACUUGAAUAUGAUGAAUUUGCUUCUGUAACUCCACUAUUAUCAGCAAAGCCGUUAAAUUUGCAUUGUUCAGUUUGUGAUUGAAAAAUACAGGCAUGCUUUAAUGCUUUCUUUACUCCUCCAUAAAUCGUAGGAUUAAAUGAUUUAGUGUUCAUCUGAUUUAUAGCUCCUAAACGUUUAUAAGAAACAAUAAAUACUCUUCUGCUAGGAACCCAAAUAAUUCUUUUAGGUAAAGGCUUGAGACGAUUUGCUUGUUCAUUUAAACUUAAAACACUAUCGGUAUCACUAUCUUGAC
rnacentral:antisense_RNA from 1 species